UGAUAUUGUUUUCUUUGUUUGUCUUUUGGAAGGGUUAUGCAGACGCGCAGGCGCGCGUAGAAUACAUGAAACCUCCCACCAUAACAGCCACACCCAUGGUCCAGCCAUGCCAGUUCGUCAUCCCAGCUGUCAUCAAACCUCUUCUAUCAGCGGAACCAGAAGUUCCUCGCGCCCCCGCAGUACCCGAGUACCAGCCCUAUCCAAUGCCACCGAUAAUCAUCCAAGAGGACAACAGCUGGCACCAUCUGCUGUACUUUCUGAUCUUCGCCAUGAAAAAUAGGAACUUUGCUGCUCCACCGCCGAUGCCAUACCAAUAUCCGAUGCCUGGUUACGAUAGAUUCUGUAAUGAUGCUCCAUAUAUGCCCUAUCCCUUCCCCAUGCAGAACCAAGGCAUGGACUCAAUGUAUGAUGAUGAACCAGAGCAGAGAGAUAACGAAGUAACUCUAGUGAUAAGAGCUGAUAAAUGAAAUACUGAAUAAAGACUGUUCGAUA